AGAACGAACGCUUGCGGCGCGCCUAAUACAUGCAAGUCGAACGCUGUAGCAAUACAGAGUGGCGCACGGGUGAGUAACGCGUGGAUAAUCUGCCUGUCAGUGGGGAAUAACUAUCCGAAAGGGUAGCUAAUACCGCAUGAGACCACAGUUUCCGAGGAAACAGGGGUUAAAGAUUUAUCGCUGACAGAUGAGUCUGCGUGGGAUUAGCUAGUUGGUGGGGUAACGGCCUACCAAGGCUACGAUCUCUAACAGGUCUGAGAGGAUGAUCAGCCACACUGGAACUGAGACACGGUCCAGACUCCUACGGGAGGCAGCAGUGGGGAAUCUUGGACAAUGGGCGCAAGCCUGAUCCAGCCAUGCCGCGUGAGUGAAGAAGGCCUUCGGGUUGUAAAGCUCUUUUGUCAGGGACGAUAAUGACGGUACCUGAAGAAUAAGCCCGGCAAACUUCGUGCCAGCAGCCGC
rnacentral:rRNA from 1 species